rnacentral:rRNA from 1 species
UGGGGAAUAUUGCACAAUGGGCGCAAGCCUGAUGCAGCCAUGCCGCGUGUAUGAAGAAGGCCUUCGGGUUGUAAAGUACUUUCAGCGGGGAGGAAGGGAGUAAAGUUAAUACCUUUGCUCAUUGACGUUACCCGCAGAAGAAGCACCGGCUAACUCCGUGCCAGCAGCCGCGGUAAUACGGAGGGUGCAAGCGUUAAUCGGAAUUACUGGGCGUAAAGCGCACGCAGGCGGUUUGUUAAGUCAGAUGUGAAAUCCUCGGGCUCAACCUGGGAACUGCAUCUGAUACUGGCAAGCUUGAGUCUCGUAGAGGGGGGUAGAAUUCCAGGUGUAGCGGUGAAAUGCGUAGAGAUCUGGAGGAAUACCGUUGGCAAAGGCGGCCCCCUGGACGAAGACUGACGCUCAGGUGCGAAAGCGUGGGGAGCAAACAGG